rnacentral:rRNA from 1 species
UACGAAGGGGGCUAGCGUUGCUCGGAAUGACUGGGCGUAAAGGGCGCGUAGGCGGUUUGUACAGUCAGAUGUGAAAUUCCUGGGCUCAACCUGGGGGCUGCAUUUGAUACGUAUGGACUGGAGUGAGGAAGAGGGUCGUGGAAUUCCCAGUGUAGAGGUGAAAUUCGUAGAUAUCAGGAGGAACACCGGUGGCGAAGGCGGCUUCCUGGACACUUACUGACGCUGAGACGCGAAAGCGUGGGGAGCAAACAGG